AACGAACGCUGGCGGCAGGCCUAACACAUGCAAGUCGAGCGCCCUUUCGGGGGAGCGGCGGACGGGUGAGUAUCGCGUGGGAAUAUGCCCUUCUCUACGGAAUAGCCUCGGGAGACUGAGAGUAAUACCGUAUACGCCCUGUGGGGGAAAGAUUUAUCGGGGAAGGAUUAGCCCGCGUUGGAUUAGGUAGUUGGUGGGGUAAUGGCCUACCAAGCCGACGAUCCAUAGCUGGGUUGAGAGGAUGAUCAGCCACACUGGGACUGAGACACGGCCCAGACUCCUACGGGAGGCAGCAGUGGGGAAUCUUGGACAAUGGGGGCAAGCCUGAUCUAGCCAUGCCGCGUGAGUGAUGAAGGCCUUAGGGUUGUAAAGCUCUUUCAGCUGGGAAGAUAAUGACGGUACCGGCAGAAGAAGCCCCGGCUAACUCCGUG
rnacentral:rRNA from 1 species